UUUCUGUCUGCCUCUCAUUGGCAAACAUGACAUUUCAGCAAUUUCUCUAAAGAGGAAUGACUGGGGGGUAUGUACAGCAGGCAUCAUGUAAGAAAAACUCACACCUCACGACAUAUUUGUUUGAUUUAUUCAGCAGACUUCAGCAAAGGAAAGAUGUGAAAGCAACCCUUGAUUGUUGAUUUUUUGUUCAUUCUGAAAAUCACAUCGCCAGAUCCAACACCUUUUUAUCCCAAUCACCAGUACAAGCCACCCGUAUCAGUGUACACUGUGGCUGACCGAUCCAUAGUGAUGCUUUGAGACUUUGGUGAAAAGUGAGGCUCUCCUGGGUUCCAGCCGUGGUCUUUUCACUUGCUAGCUUUGUGACUCUGAGCUCUCUGGACUUCAGUUUCUUCUGUAAUAAAAUUGUGAAAAUAGUACUCUUGUAAAAAUCAGUUCUAUGAAGUGAACAGGCAUCCAACAAGGCUGAUGGCACAGAAGAUGGUCCUAAGACAGACAAGCAAACAAAACUUGCCUUCUCUGUGGAAGCACUUCCUGACUUCGCUUCCCCAACAACACAAGGAAGGACUUUCUGGAAUCUACUUAUCUGACCAAGAAAGCUUCUUUCCAAAAGAAAUGCAAUUGUCUUGAGACUUCUUCCCUAGGGAUCUGAUCAACUAACCAGAAAAGAGCAACCACCAGAGAAGAGACUGUGGGUGUCAUUGUGACUGGCUGCUACCUCCCCAUGAGUCUUCUAAAAUAAAACCUGCAAAUUCACAUCUUCCCCAUGCUUCCAGAGAAUGCAUAUUCUUCCUUUGAAAAAAGAAAACCAGGUAGUCGUACAGUGUCCAGAAGGCAAAAGGACAAGUAUGCACUGCCCUACUUACCUACUUUCCACACUGCUGCACAGGAAAAUCUGACAGAGGACAAUAACAAACAUCUCACCAGCUCAUGCGUUCUUUUUUGAUCCUAAUUCCGAGAGACUCACCAAAGACAUGAAGAGAAAACAAACAAUACUUUUCUUGGAAAUAUUGUAAUUGCUGGUACAUUUGUUGUUCUGGCAUAAAGUAGAAAUUGUCAGUUACCAGAACAAUACUCAGUGAACUUAUGAAUAUAUGGUAAAUAUUAAACACAUCCCACUUGGAUGAGAAGAUAUGUGAGUCGAUGAGUAUAGCUAAGUCUAAAGUUAGAUGUGUUCCAUAAACAUAGUGUUUAUGGAGUUGGUGCAUAUUCAC
rnacentral:lncRNA from 1 species